UACGUAGGGUGCGAGCGUUGUCCGGAUUUAUUGGGCGUAAAGGGCUCGUAGGCGGCGUGUCGCGUCGGGGAGUGAAAGCCCGUUGCUUAACGGCGGGUUGGCUUUCGGUACGGGCAUGCUGGAGUGCGGCAGGGGAGACUGGAAUUCCUGGUGUAGCGGUGGAAUGCGCAGAUAUCAGGAGGAACACCGGUGGCGAAGGCGGGUCUCUGGGGCCGAUACUGACGCUGAGGAGCGAAAGCGUGGGGAGCGAACAGG
rnacentral:rRNA from 1 species